ACCUCAAAUCAGGCAAGAAUACCCGCUGAACUUAAGCAUAUCAAUAAGCGGAGGAAAAGAAACUAACAAGGAUUCCCCUAGUAACGGCGAGUGAAGAGGGAAGAGCUCAAAUUUUAAAUCUGCCUUGUUUCAAGGUCGAGUUGUAAUUUGAAGAAGCGUUUUCUUGGGCUCGCGGCCGGUAGAAGUUCUUUGGAACAGGACAUCAUAGAGGGUGACAAUCCCGUCUGCGACCGGUCGUGUGUUCGUCUACGAUACGCUUUCAAAGAGUCGAGUUGUUUGGGAUUGCAGCUCCAAAUGGGUGGUAAACAUCACCUAAGGCUAAAUAUUGGCGAGAGACCGAUAGCGAACAAGUACCGUGAGGGAAAGAUGAAAAGAACUUUGAAAAGAGAGUUAAAUAGUACGUGAAAUUGUUGAAAGGGAAACGAUUGAAGUCAGUCGUGCUGGCGCGAAAUCAACCCUCUCGUCGAGAGGUCACACGGCGUGGCGAGCCUCAAAACCGUCACGAAGCGUGAACUCUUGGCGAAAAGGAGCACUUUCGUGUCCGCUGGUUAACAUCAAUUUCGAACGUCAUAAAAAGGCUGGAGGGAUGUGGCUCCUUCGGGAGUGUUAUAACCUUUAGCGGAAUGUGGUGGUCGGGAUUGAGGAUUGCAACGAAUACCUUUAGGGCUGUUCCACCUGGCUUCUCUUUGGUAUCCUGGUGACGACAGCUUGCUGACGUUGUUAGGAUUCGCCUUUGAACAGGCUAGAGUGUGAGCAAAUUCGUUAAGGAUGUUAA
rnacentral:rRNA from 1 species